AGAUUGAACGCUAGCGGGAUGCUUUACACAUGCAAGUCGAACGGCAGCGCGGACUUCGGUCUGGCGGCGAGUGGCGAACGGGUGAGUAAUAUAUCGGAACGUGCCCAGUAGCGGGGGAUAACUACGCGAAAGCGUGGCUAAUACCGCAUACGCCCUACGGGGGAAAGGGGGGGAUUCUUCGGAACCUCUCACUAUUGGAGCGGCCGAUAUCAGAUUAGCUAGUUGGUGAGGUAAACGGCUCACCAAGGCGACGAUCUGUAGCUGGUUGAGA
rnacentral:rRNA from 1 species